rnacentral:rRNA from 1 species
GACGAACGCUGGCGGCGUGCUUAACACAUGCAAGUCGAACGGAAAGGCCCUGCUUGCAGGGUGCUCGUGUGGCGAACGGGUGAGUAACACGUGGGUGAUCUGCCCCUUACUUUGGGAUAAGUAUGGUAAACUGGGUCUAAUACUGGAUAGGACCAUGCUGUAGGUGGUGUGGUGGAAAGAUUUUUUCGGUAAGGGAUGAGCUUGCGGCCUAUCGGCUUGUUGGUGGGGUAAUGGCCUACCAAGGCGUCGACGGGUAGCCGGCCUGAGAGGGGGGACGGCGACACUGUGACGAAGCCACGGGGAGGACGCCGACGGGAGUCAGCAGUGAGGAGUAAAGCCCUGAGGGAGCAAGCCUGAUGCAGCGACGCCGCGUGGGGGAUGACAGAAUUCGGGUUGUAGGCACCUUUCAGCCAUGACGAAGCCUCGUAUGUGGUGACGGUAGUGAUAGAAGAAGCAACGGCUAACUACGUG